CUAUUUUUAUACGACCGCAAAAAAAAUUUUUGUGGUCGUAUAUUGGUAUGACGUUGGCGUCGUCGUCGUCGUCGUCCGGCGUCGUCGUCCAAAUACACAUUAGUUUUCGCACUCUAACUUUAGUUUGAGUGAAUGGAUCUCAUUGAAAUUUUACCAUAAGGUUCAAUACCACAAAAGGAAGGUGGGGAUUGAUUUUGGGGGUUAUGGUACUAACAGUUAAGGAAUUAGGGGCCAAAAGGGGCCAAAAAUAACCAUUUUUGUAACUUCCAGACAUAACUUGUGUGUAAGUGUAUGGAUCUCUCUGACAUUGUACCACAAGGUUCCAUAUCACAAAGGGAAUGCUGGGAUUGAUUUUGGGGGUAAUUGUCUCCAAAUUUUAGGAAUUAGGGGCCAAAAAGGGGCAAAAAACAAGCAUUUUUCUAGUUUCAUGACAAUAACUUGUUUGUAAGUGUAUGGAUCUUUAUGAAAUUGUACUACAAGGUUCCAUAUCACAAAGGGAAGGCUGGGAUUGAUUUUGGGGGUUUUCCCUCAAAAUUUUAGUAAUUAGGGGCCAUAAAAGGGCAAAAAAAACAUGCAUUUUUCUAGUUUCAGGACAAUAACUUGUGUGUAAGUGUAUGGAUCUUUAUGAAAUUGUACUGCAAGGUUCCAUAUCACAAAGGGAAAGCUGGAAUUGAGUUUGGGGGUAAUUGCCCUAAACGUUUAGGAAUUUGGGGCCAAAAAGGGGCCAAAAAACAAGCAUUUUUCUAGUUUCCAGACAAUAACUUGUGUUCAAGUGUAUGAAUCUCUCUGAAAUUGUACUGCAAGGUACCAUACCACAAAGGGAAAGCUGGGAUUGAGUUUGGGGGCGAUGAAUCAUAAGGGGGUUCAAAAAAUUGGGGGGGGGGGGGAUUUUUUUUUUCCUUUUUUUUCUUUAACAUUUUCCAUUUUAAAUUGGUUAUUUCUGAUUUAUAUAUAAAAGCAAAUAAUAAUGAUAUGGUUUGAAUAGGCAUACAUGUGAACCUCCCGACGGGAGUACAAUAAUCCCCUUUUUCAGGGGUCUCCUCCCGACCUCCCGUUGAAAAAAUCCCGUGUAUGAAAUUUUUCAUGAAUGAAAAAUUUCUGCCCAACAUAACAUCUCAGGCAUCUGGUGUAACUGAUAUUACCUGAAGUUAUAUUUUACCUGUAAAUCAAUUAACAUGCAUAAUUAUAUGGCUUCACUUGUCAGCUUGGGUGUCAAACAUACUGGUAAGCAACGAUUUUUACCUCAGGCUAACUGCCGUUGUGUAACAAAAACUGUGUAUUUAUUGGGUUACUUCCCUUGAUUUAUCCUGUUUUAAGUUACUUUCCUUUUAAUAAUGAAAAUUUUUAAAAGAAUAUAAAUAAAAUAUAAAUUGAACAAAUAAUCAUAAAAGGAUGGUUAUCAAAUGAUUUUAAAUGUCUUAGGACAAAUAAAAAAAUAAUAAUUUGAAAAUUAUUUGAGGAUUCUAUACUUCCUUUUAAGGCUUAAAUUGAAAUUUAUAUAAUAACUAUGACCCUAACUUUACAGAUAGAAUGAAUUUCUGAGUUUGCAAAUAAAAACUAUUUGCAAGAGAAAAAAAAAAAAUUAAAAACUAUUUGCAGACAGCUAAACAAAUGUUCUGGUUGCAAUGAUUGUUUUAUAGAAUAUGAAGUAAAAAAUUUAAAGAACAUACUGGAAAAAAACAAUGUUAGAUUGAACAUGUAGAAUAUAAAUAUGGAGAAACUUUAUAAGUACAAGGGUACUAUAAACAUAAUAAAUUGGUUGGAAAGUUGAAGAAAACACACUUUAAAAGACCAUUUUUACAGCACACGGUUACAUUUACAACAAAAUUAAUGUCGAUUAAAAACCUCCUGAUCUGAGUCCUAAUCUCCUGACCAAAAUUUCCCAAUCUCCUGAUCUGAGUUUCACAGUCCAUCACAUGUAUGAAUAGGUAAAUUGAAAAUUUUUAAGUUCUUAGUCCACUUUCAUUCUGUGUCAGAAACCUAUGCUGUGUCAAAUAUUUAAUUACAAUCCAAAUUCAGUGCUGUAUUAAGCUUGAAUGUUGUGUCCAUACUUGCCCCAACUGUUCAGGGUUCGACCUCUGCGGUCGUAUCAAGCUGCGCCCCAGCGGAGCAUUUUAUUCAUAA